rnacentral:rRNA from 1 species
AUUGAACGCUGGCGGCAGGCCUAACACAUGCAAGUCGAGCGAGAGACGGACGGGUGAGUAAGGUUUGGGAAACUGCCGGCUGGAGGGGGAUAACUACGGGAAACGGUAGCUAAUACCCCAUCACCCCAGAUGUGCCCAGAUGGGUUUAGCUAGUAGGGGGGGUAACGUCUCACCUAGGCGACGACCCCUAGCUGGUUUUGGAGGAUGACCAGCCACACUGGAACGGAGACACGGUCCAGACUCCUAAGGGAGGCAGCAGUGGGGAAUAUUGCACAAUGGGCGCAAGCCUGAUGCAGCCAUGCCGCGUGUAUGAAGAAGGCCUUCGGGUUGUAAAGUACUUUCAGCGGGGAGGCGUUACCCGCAGAAGAAGCACCGGCUAACUCCGUGCCAGCAGCCGCGGUAAUUC